rnacentral:rRNA from 1 species
UGGUGGAGUGAUUUGUCUGGUUAAUUCCGAUAACGAACGAGACCUUAACCUGCUAAAUAGCCAGGCCGGCUUUUGCUGGUCGCAGGCUUCUUAGAGGGACUGUCAGUGUCUAACUGACGGAAGUUUGAGGCAAUAACA